rnacentral:pre_miRNA from 1 species
AGACACCCUUCUGGGGCAAGACUUGCUUCAGUGGCGCUUUGUUGCUCACUGAGUCUUCCCCCUGAGUGUGUCCCU